rnacentral:rRNA from 1 species
UACGUAGGGCGCAAGCGUUGUCCGGAAUUAUUGGGCGUAAAGAGCUCGUAGGCGGUUUGUCGCGUCUGCUGUGAAAACUGGAGGCUCAACCUCCAGCCUGCAGUGGGUACGGGCAGACUAGAGUGCGGUAGGGGAGAUUGGAAUUCCUGGUGUAGCGGUGGAAUGCGCAGAUAUCAGGAGGAACACCGAUGGCGAAGGCAGAUCUCUGGGCCGUAACUGACGCCGAGGAGCGAAAGCAUGGGGAGCGAACAGG